rnacentral:tRNA from 1 species
GUGAGCGUAGCUCAGUUUGGUAGAGCGCUGGAUUGUGAUUCCAGUGGUCGUGGGUUCGAGUCCCAUCGUUCACCCCA